rnacentral:lncRNA from 1 species
CUCACCUGUCACGAGGGUUAUGGAUCCCUAUAACUCACCUGUCACGAGGGUUUCUUUUGGAUCCACACAAGCAUUCCCAAACAGGCAGAGACCAUAUGGAUCUUGAAGCUGGACAUUCAGGCAUCUAUUGCCUAGCAUGCUAGAAUAACCUUGGAUUAAAAGCAGCAUUCGUCUAACAUUCUCCCAAAUUGUUUAUUUUUGACAUUUGAGAAGGUUUGGUAAAUUGGAAUUACAUUUGUUAAAUCAUGAUGUUUUGACUAAAUUGAAGACUGCAUGCAUAGACCUAAACAGAUGUUUUGUAGCUAAUUUUGUGUUUUGCCUUUAAAAUGCAGUCAGUGUUUUUACAACCUCUGCAGAACAUGGCAGUUUCUCUGCUUUGAUAUGUCAAUAUCAAUCAAAAAGUCUUUCAAAUGUCAAAGGCGAUUUUGCCCAUGACUGAACUGCAUGCCAAACACGCCUAAAAAAACAUUUUCAAAAAGUCUGUCGGUCUGGAGUUUACUGACUCUUACUAGAGCUAUAAUUGGCUGUUGAAUAUACUGUAUACUCCCCCUGCAAAAGACACAGGAUGGUAUACAACAGAAAGUUUGCCUCUCCACAAUUUGUACUCAUUUUCGAUCUAUUGAGACAUCAUACAAUUAAUACUUUCCCACUGUCAAUAAUUAGCAAAUGAUUACCGCCCCCUCCCCCAAUCAUUAGUUCAUUGUAGUGACAGAGUAAUUAGACCUGAACGAUGCCAUUGUUGUUGUUUUACCUGUAUUUAACUAGGCAUUGUUAUUUAACUAGGAUCGUUGAUGACCUGGAUCUGAAUAGAUAUCUUUAAACUCAUAUGUCCCUCUGGUGAGAAGGAAGAGGAGAUACAGUAGACUACUUCAGUCUUUCAGUGGUAUAAAAACAACCCCAAACAUUUCUCUGAAUGGUGAAUUCCUUCAAAUGGUGACUGAGUAUUUUUUAUUUGACCUUCAGUUUGAUCUUGAAGUAGGCUAGUCCAAUGAGAAUAAAAUGUCCUCUGCAAGAGAACUGUUCUGCCAACGAGUCAUUGUUAAAUUAUAUAUUGCUGUACACAUUUCUAUGUUGCUGAGUUGGGUGAGUUCUUACUUUCAGUCUUGUUAUUUUCAGAAACACAUUAAAACACUGAGCCAGGGAGAGUUCCAAUGUUCCAACUUCAAUAUGCGUGCUUGUAAAAAAAAAUGUAACGAUAGUUUGUUUUAAUUACGAAAUAAAAAAGGCAGUGUUUGUAUGGUUGUUUACAAAUGCACUCAAUUAUGGGAAAAUAAAACUAUUCAAAAUGUGUUACUGACUGAAUUGUGUCCAUUUCAG